AUUGAACGCUGGCGGCAGGCUUAACACAUGCAAGUCGAGCGGAGAUGAGGUGCUUGCACCUUAUCUUAGCGGCGGACGGGUGAGUAAUGCUUAGGAAUCUGCCUAUUAGUGGGGGACAACAUUCCGAAAGGAAUGCUAAUACCGCAUACGCCCUACGGGGGAAAGCAGGGGAUCUUCGGACCUUGCGCUAAUAGAUGAGCCUAAGUCGGAUUAGCUAGUUGGUGGGGUAAAGGCCUACCAAGGCGACGAUCCCUAGCUGGUCUGAGAGGAUGACCAGCCACACUGGAACUGAGACACGGUCCAGACUCCUACGGGAGGCAGCAGUGGGGAAUAUUGCACAAUGGGCGCAAGCCUGGUGCAGCCAUGCCGCGUGUAUGAAGAAGGCCUUCGGGUUGUAAAGUACUUUCAGCGGGGAGGAAGGCGGUGAAGUUAAUAGCUUCACCGAUUGACGUUACCCGCAGAAGAAGCACCGGCUAACUCCGUGCCAGCAGCCGCGGUAACAC
rnacentral:rRNA from 1 species